CAGUUCACAAGAGACUGCCUUCUUCUUGUCAACAAUUGAAGAUCUGGAUGUCUGACCAGAAGAGUGUCUUAAGAUUGGUGAGGAUCAUGCAGGUCGUGUAGAUGUAGUUGAAGUAACCAACUCAGGAAUGCACCCUGUCCUGAUCAGAGCAGGCAAGUACCACCCAGGAGAGGGAAACAAGUGACACUUAGGUACACUGACAGUGGAAGCUAUUCCCAUGCAAUUGACAUCUUGUUUGACCGUGACGCCUGUGACAUCAUAGCAGAUGGAGGUCAAAGUUCAUGGACGAUUCUAGUGCCAAAUGUAGCAGUUGUGUGUGUGUGACCAGUAAGAUUUUGUUUGUUAAGGCAAUGGACAGUUCCCUUGUUAGUUAAGUUUUACAGCCAACAUGAUUAUUAUUAUGAAAAAA